rnacentral:snRNA from 1 species
GGAUGUGAGGGCGAUCUGGCUGUGACAUCUGUCAUGCCACUGAUCACCAGGGUUGAUGUGGCUGAUCUGGCUGGCUGGGGGCAUGUCCCCUUUCUCCCUCACUGCUCCAGGUGUAUCUGUCCCAAAGCUGCAUGCUCCGUCAAAGAGGACGACCACCCUCGAUAGAGGAGGGCCGCCGGUCUUUGGUCAAGAGUAUGCGAGUAGCGGCGCUCACCUGCUAGAACCUCCGAACAAGCUCUCAAGAAGAGGCUGGGGGACUAGUUCCCUCUCUUUCUGCCAUGUGAGGACACAAUAAGA